ACAGUCAUAACAUGUUGAAACACUGGUUCUCAUCUGAUCUCAAAAGUUAAGCAAUGUUGAGGCUGGUCAGUACCUAGAUGGUAGAUAGUUUGGGAAUACCAGUUGCU